GUCCGCGGUGCUGAAACCGCUCAGCUCAGUCUGAGAGCUGCUGACAGCUCUUCGCAUUCUCUGCCUCUCCACCGUCCACUAUUACAAACCUCAUCCGCGCUCCUGUACCGCGCGGCGCGUGCAGCGGAGGUCUAGCGACUCGUUCGUGUCCUGCUCCUCUUUAAUUAUUCGGAAAGUGUUUUAAUACAAGGACAUAUUCAGUGAAGAGAAGCCCGUUGCCGUAACGAUGAACUGGGCAAGAAAUUACAAACCAAACGUGAUCGUCCUGUUUCUGGCUGUGUUUGCCGGUGUGGUGAACGCACGAGGGCAAGGUUCUUUUAUGAAUGGGAGAUUAGCAGUCACCCAAAGAGGAGGUCAGCCGGAAGGAGAAGACGGGUCAUAUCACACUACACAGGACCCUAAGAGAGAACUGCCCCUGUUCACCACAGCUCCGCCCUUCAGUAGCCUCGACCACCACCCUCCUUUCAAGCCCUUCCUGCCUUACGACCCACGGCCUCAAAACCAUGAGGAGUACUUUCACGACAGUGGCGGGGCGUCUCACCAUCCCACAAUGCCGUCCUCUAGAUCCCAUCAUCUACGAGAUGCCUCCACCCAAUCGGUCCCACAUGAGGAUGCUCCGCCAUUCUCUGAUGUAGCGGCUUCCAGACCCACUACGUCGGCUCCAUCCUCUGCUGCCGUCACACAGCCAUACAUGUCUAACGUCCGGCAUGAACCCUUGGCAGAAACACAAAGAAGAGUCUCAGAGGAUCCUCACGUGACCAUGACAAUAGGAUCACUGACCACCACAUAUGCGCGCACAUCUGCAGCCCCCUCUUCUUCCAGUGACAAACAUUUAGAUGCAGGUGUCACUGUGUCCUCCAAUGUCAGGGCCAGAGAUGCAAGUUUCCAUGUGAAAACAAGCAAAGAAAAGUUGACACAGAUUAAGGGGGAACACGAUGCUAUAGGAAGUGAUGUCACUGGGACUGCAUCUUCUUUGUCUGUGGAUUUGGAUGAUGAGACCACCACCUCCACCAUCAUCACAACAACGGUUAUAACGAACAUGCAAAUGCCAGCUCCAUGCAGCACCAAUUUCACAGCACCGGGGGGUUACAUAGAGACACCACAGCACGCCAGGAGCGGGUACAAUACAAAUGUGGACUGCACGUACACCGUGACCGUCUACAUGGGCUAUGGGGUGGAAAUCCAGAUGAUGAACGUGAGCCUGGUUGAAGGAGACAUGGUCCGAUUCGAAGACCUGGGUGGUCGGGAGCCUUCUGUGCUGGCUAAUGAGUCCAUCUUGCUGAAAGGUCUGGUGGUACGCAGCUGGAGCAACCAAAUCUCCAUCCAAUACCGAAGCCAGCAACCUCAAUCCAGCUUCUUACUGCUGCGUUACCAAGCGUUUGUGUUGAGUUGUAACUUUCCUGACAGACCGGCAUACGGGGAUGUUUCUGUGACCAGCCUGCAUGCAGGGGGCGAGGCUUACUUCUACUGCUUUAAUGGAUACCAAAUCCAGGGUCCCUCCACCCUGACGUGCCGCAACGCUACCACGCCCUACUGGAACGGAAAGGUGCCCAGCUGUCUAGUGUCUUGCGGUGGAAUGCUGAAGAACGCAACACUCGGUCGCAUCAUGUCCCCUGGUUUCCCCGGCAACUACAGCAACAACCUAACCUGCCACUGGGUGCUGCAGGCCCCCGAGGACCAACGGCUUCACGUGCACUUUGAGAAAGUGGCUCUCGCCGAAGACGAUGACAGGUUCCUCAUAAAAGAUGGGAACCACAUCGACUCGACUAUCCUGUAUGACUCGUAUGAGGUGGAAUACCUCCCGAAUGAGGGUAUCGUCGGCUCCUCCAGGCAUCUCUUUGUGGAGUUUUCAACGGAUGGCUUUGGCACAAACACAGGGGUAGCCAUCAGAUAUGAAGCUUUUGCGGCAGGGCACUGCUACGAGCCUUUCGUCAAGUACGGCAACUUCACCACCACUGACAGCGCGUACGCUCUGGGCGUGGUUGUGGAGUUCACCUGUGACCCGGGCUACACCCUGGAGCAGGGCUCCGUCAUUAUCGAGUGCAUGGAUCCCGGAAACCCGCAAUGGAAUGAGACUGAGCCCGCCUGCAGAGCUGUAUGCAGUGGAGAGAUCACAGAUUCAGCAGGUGUGGUGUUGUCCCCAAACUGGCCUGAGGCCUAUGACAAGGGCCAGGACUGCAUCUGGGGGAUCCACGUCGAAGAGGACAAGAGGAUCAUGCUAGACAUCCAAGUUCUCCAUUUGGGCAAGAAUGACAUGCUGACCUUCUAUGAUGGUGAUGACCUGACAGCAAAGGUACUGGGCCAGUACGGUGGCUCCCGUCCUCGAUUCAAACUCUACACUUCUAUGGCUGAUGUCACCAUCCAGUUCCAGUCAGACCCUGCCACCAACAUCUACGGCUACAACAACGGAUUUGUGGUGCACUUUUUCGAGGUUCCCCGCAAUGACACGUGUCCAGAGCUUCCAGAGAUCUCUAACGGCUGGAAGACAACAUCUCACCCUGACCUGGUGCACGGCACGGUGGUGACCUAUCAAUGUUACCCGGGCUUCGAAUUGGUGGGCACCGAAAUGCUCAUGUGUCAGUGGGACCUGACCUGGAGUGGAGAUCUGCCCAGCUGUGAAAGAGUUCUGUCAUGCCCAGACCCGGGCACAGUGGAGCACAGUCGCAGGGUGAUGUCAGGGCCACGUCUCAUCGUGGGCUCUACCGUGCAGUUCAUCUGUAACAAAGGCUACUCGCUGUCGGGCAACAGCCUCCUGUCCUGCUAUCACCGAGACUCCACAGGACCAAAGUGGAGCGAGAAACUGCCCAAAUGCAUGUCUGAUUCGUAUGAGCCAUGUAGGAACCCUGGGACUCCCGCCUACAGCAUCCAGAGCUCAGAAAAACACAUGUAUCAGGCAGGAGAAACUGUGCGAUUUUCCUGUCUGAAUGGAUAUCAGCUCCAAGGUGAGCCUGUUCUCCGUUGUGUCCCCGGGCACCCGUCCAAAUGGAGCCAUCCACCCCCGCUGUGCAAAGCUCUCCCUUUUCUCCCAGCUGGAAGAUUGGAAUAUAUAGAUGAGCGCAGGUUAGAUGCUGCAAGUGCAGACUUCAGUAUUGAGGGAGCAAGUGUGGCUGUUUCCAUUUUCAUCCCAGUGGCCAUAAUUCUUAUCAUCAUAAUGUCAAUAUAUUUCUACUUUUCAAGGGUGCAGGGGAAAUCUCUACGCUUAUCCCUGACAGCAUCACCACAAUACGACCACAUCAGAGGAGAGUCAGCUUUUGAAAACCCCACUUACGACACUGCAAACAACGAGAGACCUAUGAUUCAAACCAGCCACCAGAAGUACUCUCUAGGAUUCUGUUGUAAAGAAAAAACCUGUAAGGAGAGUUGAUAAUGGAAUAGCAUCUCACAUGGACGCCGCCGAGAAGGUUUGAAACAUCGGAUACAAGAGAAUACGAAGUGUCCAUUUAAAAGAAACAAAGCUCAUUUCGCAUGGAGGACCGCAAGCCUUUCUCUGCCUUGUGGAAGAAUUCCUCUCACAUCUUGUGUAGCCACCUCUGCUCUUAAUCUUCUUACCUUCUCAUCCUUUCCCAUCUGCUGUAAAUACCGUCUUGCUUCUGAGGACAUCCACAAGCGAAGAGUGUGGAUGACGUGAUAUUAUUUUUGUAGAGCUUCAACAGCCAUGGCCUAACAGAAUUGCUUGUACAGUUUUUACUCGUAUCUGAGCCAAAUUCAGU